UGGAGCUGAAAUCAGUCGAAGAUACCAGCUGGCUGCAACUGUUUAUUAAAAACACAGCACUGUGCAAACACGAAAGUGGACGUAUACGGUGUGACGCCUGCCCGGUGCCGGAAGGUUAAUUGAUGGGGUUAUCCGUAAGGAGAAGCUCUUGAUCGAAGCCCCGGUAAACGGCGGCCGUAACUAUAACGGUCCUAAGGUAGCGAAAUUCCUUGUCGGGUAAGUUCCGACCUGCACGAAUGGCGUAAUGAUGGCCAGGCUGUCUCCACCCGAGACUCAGUGAAAUUGAACUCGCUGUGAAGAUGCAGUGUACCCGCGGCAAGACGGAAAGACCCCGUGAACCUUUACUAUAGCUUGACACUGAACACUGGUCCUUGAUGUGUAGGAUAGGUGGGAGGCUUUGAAGUGUGGACGCCAGUCUGCAUGGAGCCAUCCUUGAAAUACCACCCUUUAAUGGCUGGUGUUCUAACGUGGACCCGUGAUCCGGGUUGCGGACAGUGUCUGGUGGGUAGUUUGACUGGGGCGGUCUCCUCCUAAAGAGUAACGGAGGAGCACGAAGGUUAGCUAAUCCUGGUCGGACAUCAGGAGGUUAGUGCAAAGGCAUAAGCUAGCUUGACUGCGAGAGUGACGGCUCGAGCAGGUGCGAAAGCAGGUCUUAGUGAUCCGGUGGUUCUGAAUGGAAGGGCCAUCGCUCAACGGAUAAAAGGUACUCCGGGGAUAACAGGCUGAUACCGCCCAAGAGUUCAUAUCGACGGCGGUGUUUGGCACCUCGAUGUCGGCUCAUCACAUCCUGGGGCUGAAGUAGGUCCCAAGGGUAUGGCUGUUCGCCAUUUAAAGUGGUACGCGAGCUGGGUUUAGAACGUCGUGAGACAGUUCGGUCCCUAUCUGCCGUGGGCGCUGGAGAAUUGAGGGGGGCUGCUCCUAGUACGAGAGGACCGGAGUGGACGCAUCACUGGUGUUCGGGUUGUCAUGCCAAUGGCAUUGCCCGGUAGCUAAAUGCGGAAGAGAUAAGUGCUGAAAGCAUCUAAGCACGAAACUUGCCCCGAGAUGAGUUCUCCCUGAGACUAUAAGUCUCCUGAAGGAACGUUAAAGACUACGACGUUGAUAGGUCGGGUGUGUAAGUGUAGCGAUACAUUGAGCUAACCGAUACUAAUGAACCGUGAGGCUUAACCUU
rnacentral:rRNA from 1 species